UGUGUAGGCGGCUUCGCAAGUUUGGUGUGAAAUCUCCCGGCUUAACUGGGAGGGUGCGCCGAAAACUGCAAGGCUCGAGUGCUGGAGAGGAGAGCGGAAUUCCUGGUGUAGCGGUGAAAUGCGUAGAUAUCAGGAGGAACACCGGUGGUGUAGACGGCUCUCUGGACAGUUACUGACGCUGAGACACGAAAGCGUGGGAGCAAACA
rnacentral:rRNA from 1 species